UUCGUCUUGACUCCGAUUGAAGUUGCCAUUGAAGACAUGAAGAAGAAGACCUUGCAGUUAGCGGUGGCCACUCACCAGGAGCCCCCUGACGCGAAGAUGCUCCAGAUGGUACUGCAAGGCUCUGUGGGAGCCACCGUGAAUCAGGUAGGUGGGGCUCACGGAUGGCAGCUUGGCUGGGGAUUGUGUUUCUGCUCAUGUGGUCCACGCUCUUCUUAGGAGUUGAUGAGGAACCAGUCCACGUGCAGUCGUCCUUUAAAAUAAUUCUAGAAAGGAGUAGACUGUACUUCAGGAAUACUAUUUUCUCAGAGUCUCCAAUUUGGGACCAGAUCUGGCAAUAUAACCCAGGACCAGAGUCCUAUAGCAGAGAGCUGACUUGAGUCCAAGAUAGGUAGAGCUCUAUGCAGACCUUUGGACUAAUUCUAAGAAUGUGUAUAUGGAUGAAAAGAGGGCAUCUGUCUCCUUGGUUAGGUAGCAGAUAUUCCCAACAUAGCAAGUGCCUUGCCAGCAGGACUGAUCUGGGACUGGGUUCUCAGGUCACUUUGACAAGAUUACUGUUUUCAUUCCUGUUAUAACCAUCCCGCCCGAGUGGAAUGUUACUCAGAACUAGCCUGUCUCUGAUGGAGACAUACAAGCCCAGUUAGUACUUUCUGUCUAGUGACCCCCUUUUGAUGUUGGGUCUUCAUGCUGCCACACCAAAAACUCAGUAGCCAUUGUUCUUCCCAGCUAACACCUUCUCCAUCUGAGGCUCCCCUGCAGAAAUUGUAAGUCUGUUCAACUCAGGGAGAUCAGAGGUAGUAA
rnacentral:lncRNA from 1 species